CCUANGGGCGGCUGCAGUGGGGAAUUUUGGACAAUGGGGGAAACCCUGAUCCAGCCAUGCCGCGUGAGUGAAGAAGGCCUUCGGGUUGUAAAGCUCUUUCAGCCGGAAAGAAAUCGCACUGGUUAAUACCUUGUGUGGAUGACGGUACCGGAAGAAGAAGCACCGGCUAACUACGUGCCAGCAGCCGCGGUAAUACGUAGGGUGCGAGCGUUAAUCGGAAUUACUGGGCGUAAAGCGUGCGCAGGCGGUUUUGUAAGACAGACGUGAAAUCCCCGGGCUUAACCUGGGAACUGCGUUUGUGACUGCAAGGCUAGAGUAUGGCAGAGGGGGGUAGAAUUCCACGUGUAGCAGUGAAAUGCGUAGAUAUGUGGAGGAAUACCGAUGGCGAAGGCAGCCCCCUGGGUCAAUACUGACGCUCAUGCACGAAAGCGUGGGGAGCAAACAGGAUUAGAUACCCGANUANUC
rnacentral:rRNA from 1 species